CUGUUAGUACCCUUUUGCCAAGAUCAUUUCUCCAUAUUCUUCUUCAUUUCUUCUUCUUUUUUUCUCGGACGCUGAAUCUAUUUAGUGAUAGCAAGCACAAUAUUAACUUUUUAUUGUAAAAAUAACUAAAUUUAACUUAAGGGAAUCAAUAUGGAAGAGCUUAAAAGUAAUAUAAAAUUGAAAUUUUUCUGCUCAAUUUUCAACAAUGCAAAAGAAAUUUUAACUUUUUAACAAGUGGACUUCUUCAAACACCUGAUGGUGUUAGAUAUGUAAGCAUAAGAUAAAUGUAAAGAAUCAUAACCAUAAUACAAAACCCAAAAAGUAUACAGUUACACGAUGCUAUUAUAGUGUGACUCCUAUUAUGUGUAAUCAUGUUAUGACAACAUCAUCUUACAAGGAAAAAUUUCUAUAUUUUCCUUGGUCACAUGAUAAGACAAAUGUAUUAGUGAGAUAAUUAAAGACACUAAGCUUACGAAAUAUCUUGUUUUCACCUAUAGGCUCUUCCAUAUAUAAUGUUGCUACAUCUUCCCCGGCCUACUCCACAUCCUCGAAAGGUACUCGAAUCUGGAGAAUAAACUCAAUUACUUGAGAACUUGCCUAUAGCCUAUCCAACUUUGAUAAUGAUUUCGUUUGCUGCACUCCUAUUACAUUGUCAAAGUGGUGCAUCAACAAUGGUUUUCUUUGGGGUAAGCAAGUGGCAAGAGCUACUAAUUUGAGAGACAUUUAAGCAAUUGGAAGAUAGCAUCUUAAGUUAAUGUGCAGGUUUGUUGAAACUAAUUGCAGAGCCAAACAACUGUAGUCGUAACAGUGAAGUGUGUCUUGUUGUCUAUAUAUAGAGAUUCCUAUUACUAAAAACAUGAAUAUUGAUAUUUGGCUAGUGUUCUUGCGUAGAGUUUUACGUAUUUGUAAUGAAUUUGUAUCUCAUAUAUUUUAGUAUAUUCCUAAAAUAUAUAUUGAAGAGCAAGCAUAUUUCUGUAGGAAUAUAUGUUCCAGAAUUCAGUAGUUCCAUAACGCCAAUUUACAACUCAACUUAGUAAUAUAUUUGAAUUCUACUAACAGAAAAUUAUAAAAUCAACUACAGUCAAAAUAAUGAACUUCAUCCAAAGAAAGCUACAAUAUCAUAUCAGUAUAAACCACCAGAUCUAACUAAUGCAUAUGAAAAAACAUGAGACCAAAAUAAAAGUAGCAACAAAAAUAUGGUGAGAAAGUAAACAAAUGUGAGAAAUCGGGAUAAUCACGCAGACAAAAUGAAGAAUUCUCCCACUAAACCAUUAAGAUGGUGGCAGUAAUUAACACAUAAUAUUAUGUUAGCUUAGAGUGCAUAAUGGCGAAGCUCUAAAAAUGUUAAACCACCGGACAUGGCGAACAGAAUCAAUAGAUAUUUUAAAGUUUUUUUUUUGGGUUCAACAAUCAAUAGAAAUAAAUGGUCAGAUUGAGAAAAAGAGACCGCCUCAAAACAAAAAUGUGUCACGGGAAAAGAGAGGAUCCCUAUUGAGGUUCACCUGAUCUACAGAAUUCCAGAGCAUGAAGGUUUAAAGGCAGUAAAUUCAGAAUAGAAUUGCUACUCCACCACUAAAGCUCAACCAAAACCGUCUGAUGCAAACAAUACAUGCUAGACAUCUAUGACCCUCGUCAAUUUUCAUGUGAUUCAUUACAUUAUCUAAUAAUGCAGAGACACCAAAAUCAAGAAAAAUGAGAGACAUAUUAAAGGUAAGUUUCAUACCUUAGAACAUGGAGACCGUCUUCUUUGUCCGAUUGAGUCUUGUCAUUCAUACGUACCAGGAAGCUAGCCUGUAAACUUUAAAGUAGAACUUCCUAUUACCACAGAACACCAACAAUCCAUUCAUAUGAUCUCACGACUUUGUUUAUCAUAACAUCAAUGACAAAAAAUAAUUUACCAACUUGCCAACUGAUUCGUGCUAGUCCGUGCCAAUUUUCAGAAAAAGAGAU
rnacentral:lncRNA from 1 species